rnacentral:rRNA from 1 species
AUUGAACGCUGGCGGCAGGCCUAACACAUGCAAGUCGAACGAGUGGCGGACGGGUGAGUAAUGUCUGGGAAACUGCCCGAUGGAGGGGGAUAACUACUGGAAACGGUAGCUCAUACCGCAUACCAUCGGAUGUGCCCAGAUGGGAUUAGCUAGUAGAUGGGGUAACGGCUCACCUAGGCGACGAUCCCUAGCUGGUCUGAGAGGAUGACCAACCACAAUGGAAAUGAGACACGGGCCAGACUCCUACGUGAGGCAGAUGUGAAGAAUAUUGCACAAUGGGCGCAAGCCUGAUGCAGCCAUGCAGCGUGUAUGAAGAAGGCCUUCGGGUUGGAAAGUACUUGCAGCGGGGAGGCGUUACCCGCAGAAGAGGGACCGGCUAACUCCGUGCCAGCAGGCGCGGUAAUUC